rnacentral:lncRNA from 1 species
AUGACUAAUCCUCCGAAUGUAAAGCUAUCCCUUCAAUGCAGAUGGGCUUUGGUUCCUUACUUCUUUAUUGUCCUUUGGACUGAGAAGCCCUUCACAGCUGCUGCACUUUGCACAGAAGGGUUACAUCCCAGAAGUUUUUGUAUCUACAGCCCAAUGUUCGAUUUGGCUUCCUCUACCCAUGCCUGCUCCAGUGGGCCCUGGUGGCAAGGCAAUGUAACUUGUGAGCAAUUCAGUGACAGCAAGCCAAUCCUUGGCUGGGCACACGCCUCUGUGGAUAAAUGUGCUGUGCUGCUUGACCUCUGGACCUGUGAAACUGCUCUCAUGGAAAAACAGUUAUUUGCUGAGGUACUGAUAGAAGACCCUGUGUUGGUGCAAGAAAUUGAUUUCUCACUAUUAGAGAUGGAAGCAGAUGGAGACAAAAAGGCAGGCAGAGAAAAACAGUUUUUUAUCCUGGAUUCCUUCUCCACUCUCCUGGACCUUGUUACACUCCACCAUUGGCUGAAGAAGGUGGCAACAAAGAAGGCAUGGUUAGCUAGGUUAGUACUGUUUUAGCUAUGGGGAUUUCAGAGAGGUGUGGUUUCUAGGGGGGAAAAAAAACUUCUUUUAAAAAGACCACUUACUACUGUUGGGAAAAAAAUCAGUAUGAAGGAGAGUGCCUGCAUUGGUGUUGUGGGAGCUGUUUGCCUGCCUGUGAGGAUGGCGAAAUGGGUUUAGGCUAUGCUACUCCUCAAAGCUUGACAGGAGAAACUCUUUCCCAGUGAAAAUACCAAAAUUCUGUCAAAAGGAGCAGGCAGAAUUCAUUAAUCAAAAAACCCACAAAGAUGCCUCCUUCUGCUGAGUUUUGCACAAUUAAAUAUUUUAACAGACUUUUUAUGAAAG